AACGAACGCUGGCGGCGGGGUUUAGGCAUGCAAGUCGCGCGAGAAAGGGGCGAACCCGAGUACAGCGGCGCAAGGGUGAGUAAGAGUUCGUCAACGUACCUUCCUGACGCGGAUAAUUCCUCGAAAGGGGUUGGUAAUACGCGAUGAGACCACGCGCCUUCCGGGGCGANAGGUCAAAGGUCGGGGAUCCUUCGGGACCUGGCGCAGGGA
rnacentral:rRNA from 1 species